rnacentral:rRNA from 1 species
GGCGUGCCUAAUACAUGCAAGUCGAGCGAACGGACGAGAAGCUUGCUUCUCUGAUGUUAGCGGCGGACGGGUGAGUAACACGUGGAUAACCUACCUAUAAGACUGGGAUAACUUCGGGAAACCGGAGCUAAUACCGGAUAAUAUUUUGAACCGCAUGGUUCAAAAGUGAAAGACGGUCUUGCUGUCACUUAUAGAUGGAUCCGCGCUGCAUUAGCUAGUUGGUAAGGUAACGGCUUACCAAGGCAACGAUGCAUAGCCGACCUGAGAGGGUGAUCGGCCACACUGGAACUGAGACACGGUCCAGACUCCUACGGGAGGCAGCAGUAGGGAAUCUUCCGCAAUGGGCGAAAGCCUGACGGAGCAACGCCGCGUGAGUGAUGAAGGUCUUCGGAUCGUAAAACUCUGUUAUUAGGGAAGAACAUAUGUGUAAGUAACUGUGCACAUCUUGACGGUACCUAAUCAGAAAGCCACGGCUAACUACGUGCCAGCAGCCGCGGUAAUACGUAGGUGGCAAGCGUUAUCCGGAAUUAUUGGGCGUAAAGCGCGCGUAGGCGGUUUUUUAAGUCUGAUGUGAAAGCCCACGGCUCAACCGUGGAGGGUCAUUGGAAACUGGAAAACUUGAGUGCAGAAGAGGAAAGUGGAAUUCCAUGUGUAGCGGUGAAAUGCGCAGAGAUAUGGAGGAACACCAGUGGCGAAGGCGACUUUCUGGUCUGUAACUGACGCUGAUGUGCGAAAGCGUGGGGAUCAAACAGGAUUAGAUACCCUGGUAGUCCACGCCGUAAACGAUGAGUGCUAAGUGUUAGGGGGUUUCCGCCCCUUAGUGCUGCAGCUAACGCAUUAAGCACUCCGCCUGGGGAGUACGACCGCAAGGUUGAAACUCAAAGGAAUUGACGGU